rnacentral:RNase_P_RNA from 1 species
GAGAGAGGAAGGGCAGCUGCCGGCAAUUCUAUUAUAGAAUUUGCUGAGGAAAGUCCCUCCACCAUGAAAACACGAAUGUCGUGAGGGCAUAAGGCGAGAGUCUUGGCUCUGGUAUAGAAACGAUACCGUGCCAUACUGAAGCGAUGAUUCUGUAAGGAUGAGGUCGUGUGGUUACGGAUGGAACGACCAACCUCGUGGGUGCAAGCCUUGAUUAGAGAGGCGCGAAGAUAAAUGCUGCCGAAACAGAAGGGGGCUUACUCUCCUCACUC